rnacentral:rRNA from 1 species
UAAGCGAGAUGUGAAAUCCCAUGGCUCAACCGUGGAACUGCAUUUCGAACUGACAGACUUGAGAAUAGGAGAGGAAACUGGAAUUCCUGGUGUAGGAGUGAAAUCCGUAGAUAUCAGGAGGAACACCAAUGGCGAAGGCAGGUUUCUGGCCUAUUUCUGACACUGAGGCACGAAAGCGUGGGGAGCGAACGGGAUUAGAUACCCCGGUAGUCCACGCCGUAAACGAUGGAUGCUA